rnacentral:misc_RNA from 1 species
GCUGAAGAACGUAGCGAAAUGCGAUAAGUAAUGCGAAUUGCAGAAUUCCGUGAGUCAUCGAAUCUUUGAACGCACAUUGCGCCCUCUGGUAUUCCGGAGGGCAUGCCUGUCUGAGCGUCAUUGUCAACCCUCAAGCUCAGCUUGCUGUUGGGUCCCCGUCGUUGCUUUAACGGCGGACCCGAAAGGUAAUGGCAGAGUCCGUGAGACCCUAGACGCAGCGAGCUUCUAGCACGCGUCUGGACGUUUUUCGGGCUCGGUCUUAACUAGAUGAUAACUUCCGAUUGACCUCAGAUCAGGUAGGGAUACCCGCUGAACUUAAGCAUAUCAAUAAGCGGAGGA